rnacentral:rRNA from 1 species
UACGUAGGGUGCAAGCGUUAAUCGGAAUUACUGGGCGUAAAGCGUGCGCAGGCGGUUUUGUAAGUCUGAUGUGAAAUCCCCGGGCUCAACCUGGGAAUUGCAUUGGAGACUGCAAAGCUAGAAUCUGGCAGAGGGGGGUAGAAUUCCACGUGUAGCAGUGAAAUGCGUAGAGAUGUGGAGGAACACCGAUGGCGAAGGCAGCCCCCUGGGUCGAAGAUUGACGCUCA